GACGAACGCUGGCGGCGUGCUUAACACAUGCAAGUCGAACGGAAAGGCCCUGCUUUUGUGGGGUGCUCGAGUGGCGAACGGGUGAGUAACACGUGAGUAACCUGCCCUUGACUUUGGGAUAACUUCAGGAAACUGGGGCUAAUACCGGAUAGGAGCUCCUGCUGCAUGGUGGGGGUUGGAAAGUUUCGGCGGUUGGGGAUGGACUCGCGGCUUAUCAGCUUGUUGGUGGGGUAGUGGCUUACCAAGGCUUUGACGGGUAGCCGGCCUGAGAGGGUGACCGGCCACAUUGGGACUGAAAUACGGCCCAGACUCCUACGGGAGGCAGCAGUGGGGAAUAUUGCACAAUGGGCGGAAGCCUGAUGCAGCAACGCCGCGUGCGGGAUGACGGCCUUCGGGUUGUAAACCGCUUUCGCCUGUGACGAAGCGUGAGUGACGGUAAUGGGUAAAGAAGCACCGGCUAACUACGUG
rnacentral:rRNA from 1 species